rnacentral:rRNA from 1 species
UGCAGUCGACGAUGACCUCCAGCUUGCUGGGGUGAUUAGUGGCGAACGGGUGAGUAACACGUGAGUAACCUGCCCUUCACUCCGGGAUAAGCACUGGAAACGGUGUCUAAUACCGGAUACGACCUCCGACCGCAUAGUCAGGGGGUGGAAAGAAUUUUGGUGGAGGAUGGACUCGCGGCCUAUCAGGUAGUUGGUGAGGUAAUGGCUCACCAAGCCGACGACGGGUAGCCGGCCUGAGAGGGUGACCGGCCACACUGGGACUGAGACACGGCCCAGACUCCUACGGGAGGCAGCAGUGGGGAAUAUUGCACAAUGGGCGAAAGCCUGAUGCAGCAACGCCGCGUGAGGGACGACGGCCUUCGGGUUGUAAACCUCUUUUAGUAGGGAAGAAGCGAAAGUGACGGUACCUGCAGAAAAAGCACCGGCUAACUACGUGCCAGCAGCCGCGGUAAUACGUAGGGUGCAAGCGUUGUCCGGAAUUAUUGGGCGUAAAGAGCUCGUAGGCGGUUUGUCGCGUCUGCUGUGAAAUCCGGAGGCUCAACCUCCGGCCUGCAGUGGGUACGGGCAGACUAGAGUGCGGUAGGGGAGAUUGGAAUUCCUGGUGUAGCGGUGGAAUGCGCAGAUAUCAGGAGGAACACCAAUGGCGAAGGCAGAUCUCUGGGCCGUAACUGACGCUGAGGAGCGAAAGCAUGGGGAGCGAACAGGAUUA